rnacentral:rRNA from 1 species
GACGAACGCUGGCGGCGUGCCUAAUACAUGCAAGUUGAGCGAUGAAGCUUGGUGCUUGCACCAAUUUGAAGAGCAGCGAACGGGUGAGUAACGCGUGGGGAAUCUGCCUUUGAGCGGGGGACAACAUUUGGAAACGAAUGCUAAUACCGCAUAACAACUUUAAACAUAAGUUUUAAGUUUGAAAGAUGCAAUUGCAUCACUCAAAGAUGAUCCCGCGUUGUAUUAGCUAGUUGGUGAGGUAAAGGCUCACCAAGGCGAUGAUACAUAGCCGACCUGAGAGGGUGAUCGGCCACAUUGGGACUGAGACACGGCCCAAACUCCUACGGGAGGCAGCAGGAGGGAAUCUUCGGCCAUGGGCGAAAGUCUGAGCGAGAAACGCCGCGUGAGUGAAGAAGGUUUUCGGAUCGUAAAACUCUGUUGGUAGAGAAGAACGUUGGUGAGAGUGGAAAGCUCAUCAAGUGACGGUAACUACCCAGAAAGGGACGGCUAACUACGUG